rnacentral:rRNA from 1 species
UGCCUGAAUAAUGGUGCAUGGAAUAAUGGAAUAGGACCUCGGUUCUAUUUUGUUGGUUUUCGGAACUGGAGGUAAUGAUUAACAGGGACAAACCGGGGCAUUCGUAUUGCGGCGUUAGAGGUGAAAUUCUUGGAUCGCCGCAAGACGAACUACUGCGAAAGCAUUUGUCAAGAAUGUUUUCAUUAGUCAAGAACGAAAGUCAGAGGCGCGAAGACGAUCAGAUACCGUCGUAGUUCUGACCAUAAACUAUGCCACCUGGCCAUCCGCAGGAGUUGCUUCGAUGACUCUGCGGGCGGCCUCCGGGAAACCAAAGGUUUUGGGUUCCGGGGGAAGUAUGGUUGCAAAGCUGAAACUUAAAGGAAUUGACGGAAGGGCACCACCAGGAGUGGAGCCUGCGGCUUAAUUUGACUCAACACGGGAAAACUCACCCGGUCCGGACACUGUAAGGAUUGACAGAUUGAUAGCUCUUUCUUGAUUCGGUGGGUGGUGGUGCAUGGCCGUUCUUAGUUGGUGGAGCGAUUUGUCUGGUUAAUUCCGAUAACGAACGAGACUCUAGCCUAUUAAAUAGUUCGCCGGUUCCUUGAUGCGCCGGCGACAACUUCUUAGAGGGACGAGUGGCGUUUAGCCACACGAAAUUGAGCAAUAACAGGUCUGUGAUGCCCUUAGAUGUCCGGGGCCGCACGCGCGCUACACUGAAGGAAUCAGCGUGGAUACCUCCCUGGCCCGAAAGGGUUGGGAAACCCGUUGAAUCUCCUUCGUGCUAGGGAUUGGGGCUUGUAAUUCUUCCCCAUGAACGAGGAAUUCCCAGUAAGCGCGAGUCAUAAGCUCGCGUUGAUUACGUCCCUGCCCUUU